AAACUUUCAACAAUGGAUCUCUUGGUUCCGGCAUCGAUGAAGAACGCCGCGAAAUGCGAUAACUAAUGUGAAUUGCAGAAUUCAGUGAAUCAUCGAGUCUUUGAACGCACAUUGCGCCCCCUGGUAUUCCGGGGGGCAUGCCUGUCCGAGCGUCAUU
rnacentral:rRNA from 1 species